GAUUCUCAUCGUGGGCGCCUCAGGAGGUGGAAAAAGUACGAUAGGCAAUGUGUUGCUUGGCAAAGAGGCUUUUAAAGUGUCUCCAAGCCCUCACCAGAUGUCACCCACGACUGUUGCAGCACAGCUUGGGAAAGGGGAACGAUGCGGGCAGCGACUGAUUGUGCUGGAUACCCCAGACCUGGCAGACUUUACAGAUGAAGUACAAGCACAAGAAGAAGUGGAGCGAUGGAAAGUAAAACUAUCACCAAAGCCGCAUUUGAUCAUCUUUGUCAUUCGUCGCGACGUUUACGACAUCACUUCCGGCAUUUUGUUACUUUCGCUUCAGAAAACUGUGGGGAGCUAACUCCAUACGCAGGCGGCUUGUCGUCUUAUUCACGUUCCCUGGAGAAGAUAUCGAUGAUGUUAGGUCAAAGAAUGAUGACAUUCAGUGCAUGCUGAGGGAAGCGGGAAAACGAUAUUUUGUUUUUAGCAAAACCGGCGAUGACAAAGACGAGGACGAGCACCUUGUUCAGCAAAUCUUUAAGACAGCAGAGCAGCUGAGGAAUGGAUGCACACUUCUAAUCAUUGGAAAGACCGGAAAUGGAAAGAGUACAGUUGGGAACAUUCUGUUGGGAUCCGAUGUCUUUUGUGCGACCGCUGGACUGUCGUCAUCGACGAUGACCACACAGACAGCAACAUCUUGCAGAGAUGGCAUCAAGUUUACAGGGAGUGUCUAGUUCUGAAUGUUAGAAUUAACACAACACAUGUACAGACGCAACCAGAACAAAACAGUAAUGCAGGGGAGACAAUUUUAGUGUCAGUUCGA